AGCGUGACCAAAGAUAGUAGUCACAUGGAUGUCUAUCCACUCGUUAGUGACUACUUAUGCUGUAGUUGUAUGACUGGUCCUUUGACCUGCGAUGCCUCAGCUAUUCACUGUGAGGUUGCUGUAGUUUGACGAGCAUGUAAACUUAGGCCCCAGCCAUUCGGAUCCUUGUAGUACGGAUUGGCUAUAGUAGGUUCAUUUUGGAAUAGGGUUGCAUCUAGAN
rnacentral:lncRNA from 1 species